AUGCGGCUGGCGGCUGUUAUCAGCACAAUCAUCUCCCUUGCGCUAUCUGCAUUCCAGAGAACCAAGUGCAUUCAUGAUAGCUUCCUUUUUGUCCAAAACAGAGUUCGUGCCCUGCACCGCAGCAAAACCCCUGCCCUGCUGCUCAAGCUUGAUAUCGCAAAAGACUUCGACAGUGUUUCCUGGGAGUACAUCCUAGAACUGCUCCAGAAAUUGGGUUUCCCGCCAAGAUGGAGGGACUGGAUCGCGCUGCUCCUUGCAACUUCCUCGUCGUCCUGCCUGCUCAAUGGCAUCCCUGGAAACAACUUCUUCCACCUUCGCGGCCUCCGUCAGGGCGACCCGUUAUCGCCGCUGUUGUUCAUCCUGUGCAUCGACCCCCUACAUUGA
rnacentral:rRNA from 1 species